AGUAUUUUGAGAGCAAUUUAAUUAAGUUUCUGAGUAAAAGAUCAAAACUUAUAUAUGUGAAAGACAUAUCAUCAUGUUGGAUCAUUAAUUCUUCUAUGACUUCAAAGUUCUUCUAUGAUAAUAAGAGCAUUGGAGCACAAAUACCAAAAUAUGAAAUCAUGCAAUUUUUGAUACAUCUUAGAGCUCUUUUAAAGACUUUCUUUUAUUUCUUUAGAAAGUAAGCACAAUUUGAUACAUAAAAAUAUGAAUUGGCACACAAUUUAAGUUCUAAAGAUCAAGUCAAUUAGGACUAAUUAGUGAAUAUCAAAA
rnacentral:lncRNA from 1 species